rnacentral:rRNA from 1 species
UACAGAGGUCUCAAGCGUUGUCCGGAUUUAUUGGGUUUAAAGGGCGCGUAGGCGGUCCUGAUCGUCGGAUGUGAAAGGCCUGGGCUCAACCUGGGAACUGCAUCCGAUACGGCGGGACUGGAGUGUGGGAGAGGUUGGUGGAAUUCCCAGUGUAGAGGUGAAAUUCGUAGAUAUUGGGAAGAACACCGGUGGCGAAGGCGGCCAACUGGACCACAACUGACGCUGAGGCGCGAAAGCGUGGGGAGCAAACAGG